AAAAGAAACCAACAGGGAUUACCUCAGUAACGGCGAGUGAAGCGGUAACAGCUCAAAUUUGAAAGCUAGCUCUUUAGGGUUCGCAUUGUAAUUUGUAGAAGAUGCUUCGGGUGUGGCCCCGGUCUAAGUUCCUUGGAACAGGACGUCAUAGAGGGUGAGAAUCCCGUAUGUGACUGGGUGCUUUCGCUCAUGUGAAGCUCUUUCGACGAGUCGAGUUGUUUGGGAAUGCAGCUCAAAAUGGGUGGUAAAUUUCAUCUAAAGCUAAAUAUUGGCCAGAGACCGAUAGCGCACAAGUAGAGUGAUCGAAAGAUGAAAAGCACUUUGGAAAGAGAGUUAAACAGUACGUGAAAUUGUUGAAAGGGAAGCGCUUGCAGCCAGACUUGCGCGCUGAUGAUCAUCCGGGCUUCUGCCCGGUGCACUCGUCUGCGCUCAGGCCAGCAUCGGUUUCGGUGGUGGGAUAAAGGCCUUGGGAAUGUAGCUCCUCUCGGGGAGUGUUAUAGCCCUCGGUGCAAUGCCGCCUACCGGGACCGAGGACCGCGCUUCGGCUAGGAUGCUGGCGUAAUGGUUGUAAGCGACCCGUCUUGAAACACGGACCAA
rnacentral:rRNA from 1 species